UACGGAGGGUGCAAGCGUUAUCCGGAUUCACUGGGUUUAAAGGGUGCGUAGGUGGGCUGGUAAGUCAGUGGUGAAAUCUCCAGGCUUAACUUGGAAACUGCCAUUGAUACUAUCAGUCUUGAAUACCGUGGAGGUCAGCGGAAUAUGUCAUGUAGCGGUGAAAUGCUUAGAUAUGACAUAGAACACCAAUUGCGAAGGCAGCUGGCUACACGAAUAUUGACUCUGAGGCACGAAAGCGUGGGGAUCAAACAGG
rnacentral:rRNA from 1 species